rnacentral:rRNA from 1 species
AGUGAACGCUGGCGGUAGGCCUAACACAUGCAAGUCGAACGGCAGCACAGUAAGAGCUUGCUCUUACGGGUGGCGAGUGGCGGACGGGUGAGGAAUACAUCGGAAUCUACUUUUUCGUGGGGGAUAACGUAGGGAAACUUACGCUAAUACCGCAUACGACCUACGGGUGAAAGCAGGGGAUCUUCGGACCUUGCGCGAUUGAAUGAGCCGAUGUCGGAUUAGCUAGUUGGCGGGGUAAAGGCCCACCAAGGCGACGAUACGUAGCCGGUCUGAGAGGAUGAUCAGCCGCACUGGAACUGAGACACGGUCCAGACUCCUAAGGGAGGGCGCAGUGGGGAAUAUUGGACAAUGGGCGCAAGCCUGAUCCAGCCAUACCGCGUGGGUGAAGAAGGCCUUCGGGUUGUAAAGCCCUUUUGUUGGGAAAGAAAAGCAGCAGGUUAAUACCCCGCUGUUCUGACGGUACCCAAAGAAUAAGCACCGGCUAACUUCGUG